AAGUCUUUGAACUUGUGAAUAUGUUGGGAAGCCAGGUCAAAACCAUGGACGUGGGAGUCGAUAGUUCAGAUCAGGAGCACAAGGGAGCAGAAAGGGUUUCCUCUUUCACGGAACCAGUUCAUAAGUGGAUGGCAUUUGAAAGAGAUAUGAUAACAGAGGAUGUUGAAGCAGAGACUAGUAGAAGUUCAAUGACAGAUAAUGAUAUUUCGGAGUUGACUGAAGCAAGUAGACCGCCUUCGGGUGAUCAGUCUAAUCAGAUUCUAACAGAUGCUUCAAUGGCCGAAAGGGCUGCAGAAUGGGGGUGGAUAGUCAAGUCAAAGUUAGGAACAGGCAAUCCCAAAGCAGUAGGACUAAGGUCGUCUGAAGAUAAAAUAAAAAAUUCAGCAGGCAAAUCCAUAGAAAUUGUAACGUCAUCUGAAGAAUUUGGAUCUGAUUCGGAGUUCCCGAGAGUCUCACAAGAGCUGAAGGAUGCAUUGGCUACACUACAGCAGACAUUUGUUGUAUCAGAUGCCACCAAACCAGACUGCCCUAUAGUGUAUGCAAGUGCUGGGUUUUUCACUAUGACCGGUUAUUCAACAAAGGAAGUCAUUGGAAGGAACUGCCGCUUUCUUCAGGGACCUGAUACUAAUCAAAACGAAGUUGUAAAAAUAAGAGAAGCUGUAAGAACUGGGAAAAGCUAUAGUGGCAGACUCUUGAAUUACAAGAAGAAUGGGACACCUUUCUGGAAUCUUCUCACCAUCACACCAAUAAAAGAUGACACUGGGAAGGUUAUCAAAUUUAUAGGGAUGCAGGUUGAGGUUAGCAAAUACACUGAAGGCCUAAAUGACAAGGCUUUGCGACCAAAUGGCUUGCCCAAGUCACUGAUCCGCUAUGAUGCACGCCAGAAGGAGAAGGCCUUAGGUUCCAUCACAGAGGUUGUACAAACUGUGAAGCACCCGCUAGCUCAUAUUAAAGCCACAGAUCAUGAGACACUUGCAAAGCGUGAGGAGCCAGAGAAAUUUAACCUUGAUUAUGUACUUCCAAAAUCUUUAGAAGCUGAGAACCUAGGCACAACGGAUAUACAAACUCCUCAAAUGAAUGUCAGAAGUGAUGUGUCUAGAAAGAAUUCUUGUCAAGAUGCUGGAAAGAGCUCUAGAAAAUCAGGGCGCAUUUCCUUGAUGGGGUUUAAAGGUAGGUCUCUAAGCUUGGCAGAAAGGCCUGAGCCCAUGACUGAUCCAGAGGUGUUGAUGACCAAAGAUGUGCAACGGACUGAUAGUUGGGAUCGUGUGGAAAGAGAAAGGGAUAUACGCCAAGGAAUUGACUUAGCUACAACAUUGGAACGCAUUGAAAAAAAUUUUGUGAUCACAGAUCCUAGACUUCCUGAUAACCCAAUUAUAUUCGCAUCUGAUAGCUUUCUUGAGCUGACGGAAUAUACUCGGGAAGAAAUAUUGGGAAGAAAUUGCCGGUUUCUUCAAGGACCUGAAACAGAUCAAGGAACUGUCUGCAAAAUAAGAGAUGCUAUAAGCGAGCAGAGAGAAAUUACUGUUCAGUUGAUUAACUACACCAAGAGUGGGAAAAAAUUUUGGAAUCUGUUCCACCUGCAACCCAUGCGUGACCAAAAUGGUGAGCUUCAAUACUUCAUUGGCGUGCAAUUAGAUGGAAGUGAUCAUGUCGAACCCCUUCGAAAUCGCCUUUCGGAGAAGAGAGAACAGAAAAAUGCUAAGUUGGUAAAAGUGACUGCAGAAAAUGUUGAUGAAGCUGUUCGAGAGCUCCCAGAUGCCAACUUGAGGCCAGAAGAUCUGUGGGCAAUCCAUUCUCAGCCUGUCUUUCCAAGGCCUCACAAAAAGAACAGUCCUUCUUGGGUAGCAAUACAGAUGAUCAUUUCAAAUGGUGAAAAAAUUGGGCUGAAGCAUUUCAAGCCCAUAAGACCUUUGGGUUGUGGUGACACCGGCAGUGUUCAUUUGGUGGAAUUGGAUGGUACAGGUGAAUUGUAUGCUAUGAAGGCUAUGGACAAAUCUGUGAUGAUGAACCGUAACAAGGUUCAUCGAGCAUGCAUUGAAAGAGAGAUUGUUUCGCUACUGGAUCAUCCUUUUCUUCCAACAUUGUACACUUCUUUUCAGACUGAUACACAUGUUUGCUUGAUUACGGACUUUUUCCCUGGUGGGGAGUUAUUUGGCUUACUAGACAAGCAGCCAUUGAAGAUAUUUAAAGAAGAAUCUGCGAGGUUCUAUGCUGCAGAAGUAGUAGUUGGGUUGGAAUAUCUUCACUGUUUGGGAAUUCUCUACCGAGACCUAAAGCCUGAAAACUUGUUACUCCAAAAGGAUGGGCAUAUUGUAUUGACUGACUUUGAUUUAUCAUUUUUGACUUCUUGUCAACCCCAACUUAUACAAAAUCCAUUGCCUACAAAGAGAAGAAAAUCUAGGAGCCAGCCACAUCCAACAUUUGUUGCAGAACCUGUUACUCUAUCAAAUUCAUUUGUUGGAACUGAAGAGUACAUUGCUCCGGAAAUUAUUACAGGUGCAGGCCAUGGUAGUGCUAUUGAUUGGUGGGCUCUUGGUAUUUUGUUGUAUGAGAUGCUUUAUGGCCGCACACCUUUCAGGGGAAAGAAUAGGCAAAAAACAUUUGCCAACAUCCUGCACAAAGAUCUCACGUUUCCCAGGAGCAUUCCGGUCAGCCUUGCAGCUAGGCAAUUGAUACAUGGAUUAUUGCAUAGGGACCCUGCAAAACGUUUAGGAUCAACAAAUGGUGCCAAUGAAAUCAAACAGCAUCCUUUCUUCCAUGGAAUUAAUUGGCCCCUUAUCCGCUGCAUGGUACCUUUCACAUCUUUUUCCAAAACUGAUUUGUACUCAUUUUACCUUUCAAGAAGGUUCUGGUUGCUUUCAUCCUAUUUCUGGGGCCUGCAAAGUAAAUUUGGUAUCACUAGAGCCCACCGCCUUUAGAUGCGCCUCUUCAAAUAAUUGGAAAAGAAUCCAAGGCGAAGGAUUUACAUUGGGACGAUGGAGUUCUUAUUCAGUCCAUGGACUUUUUUUAGAGGUUUUACCCAUAAUUUAGACAGGAGACUUUGGUGAAUCAUUCCACAAGUUUUGGCCCUGCCUCUUUCUCACAGGAUCUCAACAAGGAAAUUCAGAUAGCAGACCAUGUAGAGUGUAGAAAAGCAACCAAUAAUGGUGCAGGGCUUUGGAGGUAUCAAACCAGACAAAAGUCAGCACUUCAAGGAUAGUUAGGGAAAACCUUGUUUGUAGCUUUUCCCACAAUAUGCUAUGCCAUAUGGUUCCAGUAGUCAUGCAUGAGUGAAUAAAUAGCAAAGUACCCUUAAAAUGCAUUUUAACCGGCCAAAUGGUGUAAAUAUAGUACCCCUUAACUGCAUUUUAACCGGCCAAAUAGCAAAUGACCCCUUAAAUGCAUUUUAAUCAGUAGCAAGUGGUGUUUCAUAACGACAUCUAGAUUUUCCUUUACA